AUUGAACGCUGGCGGCAGGCUUAACACAUGCAAGUCGAGCGGGGAAGGUUGCUUCGGUAACUGACCUAGCGGCGGACGGGUGAGUAAUGCUUAGGAAUCUGCUAUUUAGUGGGGGACAACAUUCCGAAAGGAAUGCUAAUACCGCAUACGUCCUACGGGAGAAAGCAGGGGAUCUUCGGACCUUGCGCUAAAUGAUGAGCCUAAGUCGGAUUAGCUAGUUGGUGGGGUAAAGGCCUACCGAGGCGACGAUCUGUAGCGGGUCUGAGAGGAUGAUCCGCCACACUGGGACUGAGACACGGCCCAGACUCCUACGGGAGGCAGCAGUGGGGAAUAUUGGACAAUGGGCGGAAGCCUGAUCCAGCCAUGCCGCGUGUGUGAAGAAGGCCUUAUGGUUGUAAAGCACUUUAAGCGAGGAGGAGGCUACCUAGAUUAAUACUCUGCAAUUUUGACGUUACCGACAGAAUAAGCACCGGCUAACUCUGUGCCAGCAGCCGCGGUAACAC
rnacentral:rRNA from 1 species